GUGCCAGCAGCCGCGGUAAUACGUAGGGGGCAAGCGUUGUCCGGAAUCAUUGGGCGUAAAGAGCGUGUAGGCGGCUUCGUCAGUCCGUUGUGAAAGUCCAGGGCUCAACCCUGGAAUGCCGAUGGAUACUGCGGAGCUAGAGUACGGAAGAGGCGAGUGGAAUUCCUGGUGUAGCGGUGAAAUGCGCAGAUAUCAGGAGGAACACCUAUGGCGAAGGCAGCUCGCUGGGACGUUACUGACGCUGAGACGCGAAAGCGUGGGGAGCAAACAGGAUUAGAUACCCUCGUAGUCC
rnacentral:rRNA from 1 species